GGGAAUUUUGGACAAUGGGCGCAAGCCUGAUCCAGCCAUGCCGCGUGAGUGAAGAAGGCCUUCGGGUUGUAAAGCUCUUUCGGCCGGGAAGAAAUCGUGUUCUCUAACAUAGGACAUGGAUGACGGUACCGGACUAAGAAGCACCGGCUAACUACGUGCC
rnacentral:rRNA from 1 species